rnacentral:rRNA from 1 species
UACGUAGGGGGCAAGCGUUGUCCGGAUUUACUGGGCGUAAAGAGCGUGUAAGCGGCCACGCAGGUCCGUUGUGAAAACUGGAGGCUCAACCUCCAGCUGUCGACGGAAACCGUGUGGCUAGAGUCCGGAAGAGGAGAGUGGAAUUCCUGGUGUAGCGGUGAAAUGCGCAGAUAUCAGGAAGAACACCAAUGGCGAAGGCGGUUCUCUGGGACGGUACUGACGCUGAGACGCGAAAGCGUGGGGAGCGAACAGG